rnacentral:rRNA from 1 species
UACAGAGGUCUCAAGCGUUGUUCGGAUUCAUUGGGCGUAAAGGGCGCGUAGGCUGCGGGGCAAGUCGGGUGUGAAAUCUCAGAGCUCAACUCUGAAACUGCACUCGAUACUGCGGUGCUCGAGUACUGGAGAGGAGAUUGGAAUUUACGGUGUAGCAGUGAAAUGCGUAGAUAUCGUAAGGAAGACCAGUGGCGAAGGCGAAUCUCUGGACAGUUACUGACACUGAGGCUCGAAGGCCAGGGGAGCAAACGGG